rnacentral:rRNA from 1 species
CGGUAAGGUGAUAUGAACCGUUAUAACCAGCGAUUGCCGAAUGGGGAAACCCAGUGUGACUCGUCACACUAUCAUUAACUGAAUCCAUAGGUUAAUGAGGCGAACCGGGGGAACUGAAACAUCUAAGUACCCCGAGGAAAAGAAAUCAACCGAGAUUCCCCCAGUAGCGGCGAGCGAACGGGGAGGAGCCCAGAGCCUGAAUCAGCAUGUGUGUUAGUGGAAGCGUCUGGAAAGGCGCGCGAUACAGGGUGACAGCCCCGUACACAAAAGCGCAUGUGCUGUGAGCUCGAUGAGUAGGGCGGGACACGUGGUAUCCUGUCUGAAUAUGGGGGGACCAUCCUCCAAGGCUAAAUACUCCUGACUGACCGAUAGUGAACCAGUACCGUGAGGGAAAGGCGAAAAGAACCCCGGCGAGGGGAGUGAAAAAGAACCUGAAACCGUGUACGUACAAGCAGUGGGAGCCCCACCACUAAGCCAGUGGUGAACUCCACAUACGCAUCCUUUGC